rnacentral:piRNA from 1 species
AUCUGUACAAUUAGAACGCUGGGUUC